CCUACGGGUGGCUGCAGUGGGGAAUAUUGGACAAUGGGGGCAACCCUGAUCCAGCCAUGCCGCGUGUGUGAAGAAGGCCCUCGGGUUGUAAAGCACUUUCAGUGAGGAAGAACGCCUGGUGGUUAAUACCCAUCAGGAAAGACAUCACUCACAGAAGAAGCACCGGCUAACUCCGUGCCAGCAGCCGCGGUAAUACGGAGGGUGCGAGCGUUAAUCGGAAUUACUGGGCGUAAAGCGCGCGUAGGUGGCUUGAUAAGCCGGUUGUGAAAGCCCCGGGCUCAACCUGGGAACGGCAUCCGGAACUGUCAAGCUAGAGUGCAGGAGAGGAAGGUAGAAUUCCCGGUGUAGCGGUGAAAUGCGUAGAGAUCGGGAGGAAUACCAGUGGCGAAGGCGGCCUUCUGGACUGACACUGACACUGAGGUGCGAAAGCGUGGGUAGCAAACAGGAUUAGAUACCCUGG
rnacentral:rRNA from 1 species